GUGAGUAACACGUAGAUGAUCUACCUUUUAGUUGGGGAUAGCCCAUGGAAACAUGGAGUAAUACCGAAUAAUCUCUUAACCUCUUGUGGUUUUGAGGAAAGAACCGUUUGGUUCGCUGAAAGAUGAGUCUGCGCACUAUUAGCUUGUUGGUGGGGUAAAGGCCUACCAAGGCGACGAUAGUUAGCCGACCUGAGAGGGUGAUCGGCCACAUUGGGACUGAGACACGGCCCAGACUCC
rnacentral:rRNA from 1 species